rnacentral:rRNA from 1 species
UACGAAGGGGGCAAGCGUUGUUCGGAAUUACUGGGCGUAAAGGGCGCGUAGGCGGCUUAUCAAGUCAGGCGUGAAAUUCCCGGGCUCAACCUGGGGGCUGCGCUUGAUACUGAUUGGCUUGAAUGCGGGAGAGGAUAGUGGAAUUCCCAGUGUAGAGGUGAAAUUCGUAGAUAUUGGGAAGAACACCAGUGGCGAAGGCGGCUCACUGGCCCGUAACUGACGCUGAGGUGCGAAAGCGUGGGGAGCAAACAGG